UGAAACUGCGAAUGGCUCAUUAAAUCAGUUAUAGUUUAUUUGAUAGUACAAUUACUACUUGGAUAACCGUGGUAAUUCUAGAGCUAAUACAUGCUAAAAAUCCCGACUUCUGGAAGGGAUGUAUUUAUUAGAUAAAAACCAAUAA
rnacentral:rRNA from 1 species